ensembl:snRNA U6 U6 spliceosomal RNA
GUGCUCACUUUGGCAGCGCACACACUAAAAUUGGAAUGCUAGAGAGAAGAUUGGCAUGGCCCCCCAUGCAAGGAUGACAUGCAAAUUUGUGAAGCAUUCCAUUAAGAA